rnacentral:rRNA from 1 species
UUGCUAUCAGGCGUCGAGCGGCGGACGGGUGAGUAAUACUUAGGAAUCUACCUAGUAGUGGGGGAUAGCACGGGGAAACUCGUAUUAAUACCGCAUACGACCUACGGGAGAAAGGGGGCAGUUUACUGCUCUCGCUAUUAGAUGAGCCUAAGUCGGAUUAGCUAGAUGGUGGGGUAAAGGCCUACCAUGGCGACGAUCUGUAGCUGGUCUGAGAGGAUGAUCAGCCACACCGGGACUGAGACACGGCCCGGACUCCUACGGGAGGCAGCAGUGGGGAAUAUUGGACAAUGGGGGAAACCCUGAUCCAGCCAUGCCGCGUGUGUGAAGAAGGCCUUUUGGUUGUAAAGCACUUUAAGCAGUGAAGAAGACUCCGUGGUUAAUACCCACGGACGAUGACAUUAGCUGCAGAAUAAGCACCGGCUAACUCUGUGCCAGCAGCCGCGGUAAUACAGAGGGUGCAAGCGUUAAUCGGAAUUACUGGGCGUAAAGGGAGCGUAGGUGGCUCGAUAAGUCAGAUGUGAAAUCCCCGGGCUCAACCUGGGAACUGCAUCUGAUACUGUUGAGCUAGAGUAUGUGAGAGGAAGGUAGAAUUCCAGGUG